rnacentral:rRNA from 1 species
UUAACGCUGAGGUGUGAUGACGAGGCACUACGGUGCUGAAGUGAUAAAUGCCCUGCUUCCAGGAAAAGCCUCUAAGCAUCAGGUAACACGAAAUCGUACCCCAAACCGACACAGGUGGUCAGGUAGAGAAUACCAAGGCGCUUGAGAGAACUCGGGUGAAGGAACUAGGCAAAAUGGUGCCGUAACUUCGGGAGAAGGCACGCUGAUAGGUAGGUGAAGUCCCUGCGGACGGAGCUGAAAUCAGUCGAAGAUACCAGCUGGCUGCAACUGUUUAUUAAAAACACAGCACUGUGCAAACACGAAAGUGGACGUAUACGGUGUGACGCCUGCCCGGUGCCGGAAGGUUAAUUGAUGGGGUUAGCGGCAACGCGAAGCUCUUGAUCGAAGCCCCGGUAAACGGCGGCCGUAACUAUAACGGUCCUAAGGUAGCGAAAUUCCUUGUCGGGUAAGUUCCGACCUGCACGAAUGGCGUAAUGAUGGCCAGGCUGUCUCCACCCGAGACUCAGUGAAAUUGAACUCGCUGUGAAGAUGCAGUGUACCCGCGGCAAGACGGAAAGACCCCGUGAACCUUUACUAUAGCUUGACACUGAACACUGGUCCUUGAUGUGUAGGAUAGGUGGGAGGCUUUGAAGCGUGGACGCCAGUCUGCGUGGAGCCAUCCUUGAAAUACCACCCUUUAAUGGCUGGUGUUCUAACGUAGACCCGUGAUCCGGGUUGCGGACAGUGUCUGGUGGGUAGUUUGACUGGGGCGGUCUCCUCCCAAAGAGUAACGGAGGAGCACGAAGGUUGGCUAAUCCUGGUCGGACAUCAGGAGGUUAGUGCAAUGGCAUAAGCCAGCUUGACUGCGAGCGUGACGGCGCGAGCAGGUGCGAAAGCAGGUCAUAGUGAUCCGGUGGUUCUGAAUGGAAGGGCCAUCGCUCAACGGAUAAAAGGUACUCCGGGGAUAACAGGCUGAUACCGCCCAAGAGUUCAUAUCGACGGCGGUGUUUGGCACCUCGAUGUCGGCUCAUCACAUCCUGGGGCUGAAGUAGGUCCCAAGGGUAUGGCUGUUCGCCAUUUAAAGUGGUACGCGAGCUGGGUUUAGAACGUCGUGAGACAGUUCGGUCCCUAUCUGCCGUGGGCGCUGGAGAAUUGAGGGGGGCUGCUCCUAGUACGAGAGGACCGGAGUGGACGCAUCACUGGUGUUCGGGUUGUCAUGCCAAUGGCACUGCCCGGUAGCUAAAUGCGGAAGAGAUAAGUGCUGAAAGCAUCUAAGCACGAAACUUGCCCCGAGAUGAGUUCUCCCUGAGACUUUAAGUCUCCUGAAGGAACGUUGAAGACGACGACGUUGAUAGGUCGGGUGUGUAAGCGCAGCGAUGCGUUGAGCUAACCGAUACUAAUGAACCGUGAGGCUUAACCUUACAACGCCGAAG